rnacentral:lncRNA from 1 species
UUCCCCCAUGAAAAUGUUUUAAAAUAGGUUUUAAAAAACAAAGAAAACUUAAAAUAGUUAAUUUAUUUUCUAAUAGAAAAAAUUAGAAAAUGAAAGAAAUAAACCACUCUACUUCCUCCACAUGCAUUAAAGACCCUCAAAGGAAAAUAAAAGAAAAAGUUUCUCAUGAAUUGAAGAUAUUUUUCACUUGAUUUUUUUAUCCAUAUGUCACAAACCUACUUUCAACAUUUUUUUAAAAUUCUCUGAUUCAGCUGGCAUUCAAGUGGAGUGAUUGCACUGCAGUGAACACAUUGAAAUCAGAAUAAAGUCAAACUGGAGUUCACAUCCACCUCUCUUGACCUCAGUAACUACUGUGCUCUCUAUUAGCAGACCUUAGCAUAGCAGAAAUGUCUGAGGCUGGCUGUACUUAGCGAUUCAAGUGCUCUGUUUAUUCAUCAGACAGCCACACUAUGCAGCCAACACUGGGCUUUUAAAAAGCACUUGUACAUUAGUUUCAAAAUUGAAAACUUAGAUAAGAUUCAUCUCUGCUUGUUUGGCUUUUCUCAAACUUUGCUUGGCCUCAAUAAUCUACAUUUGGUUCAUCGAGGUCUGUACAAGCUGGGGAACCUUGAGAAUUUGUCUAGGCAGUUUAUACAGUGAUGUUCAGCAUUGGCUAACAUUUUGUACAAUAAUCUCUGCUGUUAGCAUUUGUUUUCCUGAUAGCAGACAGACUUCCACUCGCUCAGAUGUUUUAGUUUUCCAAAUUGUUGCCUGGACAGUUUAUGCAAAUACAGAGUUUGAGAUUUCAAGAACUGUCAACAAUCCCUUUCUGCACAAUUUUCAGUGUUGUCAGCUCCUUCCAGUUAAACAGAUGCUCUGUAUCUGUUCCACGUUGUGCAGGGACCAGUCCUGAAACCACAGGUUGUGUCAAAAUAGGGUACAUGUCUUCACAGAACCACCUUUUCCUACAGCACGUGGCCCAUCAUUCUUACAGAACAGUGAUACUGGCUGCUUCCCAGACUCCAGUGAGGAUGUCUCUGAAGUCAGCUGCAGUCUCUGAAGUGCGCUGA